rnacentral:rRNA from 2 species
UGCAUCAUGAUUUACAUUUGAGUGAGUGGCGAACUGGUGAGUAACACGUGGGAAACCUGCCCAGAAGCGGGGGAUAACACCUGGAAACAGAUGCUAAUACCGCAUAACAACUUGGACCGCAUGGUCCGAGCUUGAAAGAUGGCUUCGGCUAUCACUUUUGGAUGGUCCCGCGGCGUAUUAGCUAGAUGGUGGGGUAACGGCUCACCAUGGCAAUGAUACGUAGCCGACCUGAGAGGGUAAUCGGCCACAUUGGGACUGAGACACGGCCCAAACUCCUACGGGAGGCAGCAGUAGGGAAUCUUCCACAAUGGACGAAAGUCUGAUGGAGCAACGCCGCGUGAGUGAAGAAGGGUUUCGGCUCGUAAAACUCUGUUGUUAAAGAAGAACAUAUCUGAGAGUAACUGUUCAGGUAUUGACGGUAUUUAACCAGAAAGCCACGGCUAACUACGUGCCAGCAGCCGCGGUAAUACGUAGGUGGCAAGCGUUGUCCGGAUUUAUUGGGCGUAAAGCGAGCGCAGGCGGUUUUUUAAGUCUGAUGUGAAAGCCUUCGGCUCAACCGAAGAAGUGCAUCGGAAACUGGGAAACUUGAGUGCAGAAGAGGACAGUGGAACUCCAUGUGUAGCGGUGAAAUGCGUAGAUAUAUGGAAGAACACCAGUGGCGAAGGCGGCUGUCUGGUCUGUAACUGACGCUGAGGCUCGAAAGUAUGGGUAGCAAACAGGAUUAGAUACCCUGGUAGUCCAUACCGUAAACGAUGAAUGCUAAGUGUUGGAGGGUUUCCGCCCUUCAGUGCUGCAGCUAACGCAUUAAGCAUUCCGCCUGGGGAGUACGGCCGCAAGGCUGAAACUCAAAGGAAUUGACGGGGGCCCGCACAAGCGGUGGAGCAUGUGGUUUAAUUCGAAGCUACGCGAAGAACCUUACCAGGUCUUGACAUACUAUGCAAAUCUAAGAGAUUAGACGUUCCCUUCGGGGACAUGGAUACAGGUGGUGCAUGGUUGUCGUCAGCUCGUGUCGUGAGAUGUUGGGUUAAGUCCCGCAACGAGCGCAACCCUUAUUAUCAGUUGCCAGCAUUAAGUUGGGCACUCUGGUGAGACUGCCGGUGACAAACCGGAGGAAGGUGGGGAUGACGUCAAAUCAUCAUGCCCCUUAUGACCUGGGCUACACACGUGCUACAAUGGAUGGUACAACGAGUUGCGAACUCGCGAGAGUAAGCUAAUCUCUUAAAGCCAUUCUCAGUUCGGAUUGUAGGCUGCAACUCGCCUACAUGAAGUCGGAAUCGCUAGUAAUCGCGGAUCAGCAUGCCGCGGUGAAUACGUUCCCGGGCCUUGUACACACCGCCCGUCACA